CUCAAUACCCUUGAGAAGUCCCAUUUGACAUUGGGUAACGGGCAGGGUACAAACUGGACCCUCCAUUUCAAAACAUAACUGAUGAGCAUACGCCGUAUAAGAUGACUUAAUUGCUCCAGUGAGAGAUAAAGAUCACUGCUUGAUAAAGCCAGCAGAAUCACAUUGUCUGCAAAAAGCUGACAUGCAAUAAUAAGGGAACAAAAAUGGAUCCCCCCCAAGAACUUGGCUGCACACCUAGAAAUUCUGUCGAGAAAAGGUUUUCAACAGAAGGGUGACAGAAGGCCAGCCUUCGUUGGGUUCGGCUGUCAUUGAAAACAAAUCCAACUGACUGCUCAACACCGGUCGUACGACAAGGAAUCCUGUAACCCAAAGUCUUCACGCACACCACUCCAACUUGACGCUGCUGAGGGUGUGGUGCUGUUCCACCGCCAGGAAGAUGGCCACAUUCUUCCUCCUGAAGGUCAACAGCAAGCAUAUACGGUAUAUAUGUCCUUGUUCACAAUGGUUAUUAGAACAUAAAACAGGGCAAGCGACAUGCAAUAGUGCUCAUUGUGACCUCAUCAUUGCAGCUUCUCGGAUGCACCACAGUGACGGGGGUUCUUGCUGCUGCUGCUGGAGGUUGAAGAUGCAUUUGCCGAAGGAAGCUGGUUUCAGCCUGAGUUAAACUACACUUGUGUACCCGAUGCUCCCUGCUAAAUGUUUGCUGACGCACGCCGGUUCAAAUUGAUCAGCGCAGAACUUGCAAUACUUACUUUGGGGACUGCUCCCUGCCGACCACAUUUGACCAUGUUUUCCUCCUUGCCAAAUGACUCUCUGAUCCACCGGUCACAUAUUUCUUUGUCCUUUGGAAAGCUGAAGAAACCUUUGCCACUCCCUUCGCCAUUAGUGUAACCAACUGCCGCGCAACGAAUGAAACAUUAAGUGCUAAUCAUGUGGUGAGCAACUGAACACGUAGAGCACACAACCGCAAGCCACAGUAGCCACUAAUUUGUUUGGCUUCUGUGAUAUCACAUCUCCGGAAAUACCCGAAGACGAGAAAGCUUCAGAUUAAAACUGCAGAUCACGGAUUCGGAUUUGUAGUUUGUGAUUUAAAAAAAAACAAUGUUUUUUUUUUUAUUGAUUCCAGUCAUGCAUUGUAAAGGGGCUCUAGAGGACACAAGAAAAACUUUUCAGUCUUUCGUCUCAGACCAUAAAACACCUGCAACAAAAAAAUGUGUUGAAAAACACACUUUGGCUAAUGAUUACAAUGUGUUUGUAUACACAUGAAUUAAAUGACAUUGGGUAUUGAAACAUGCCGCCGAACAAAAUCACGCAGUCAGGUUCCAGAAAAUAGAUGUAUGGAUGUCUUUUAUUCUAUUUUUGGACAAUGGUGCACUUCUGACUUUGUACACUGAAAUAAAAAGAUCUUUUGGAUUUACUUAUUUGAACAUGUACACCGAGAGCACGUGAAUGUGGUAAACUGAUGUAAAUUUCAGUAUUUUCCUCAAAUUGAAACAAAUGAUGUGGUUUAAAAAAAAACACGACCCCAGUAGUACUAUUUCUGAAUCUUUAUUUUCCAAAAUGUAAAUCUCUGGAAAGAAUAGGAACAACACAGUAGAGAGUGGGAUGAAUUUGAUUGCUUUUUAAGGAAAUGAUGAUUGGUAAUUCAAACCUUGAGGCGGGGAGUUUGUGUGCUAGUUUUUGUUUUGAUGUCUGGAUUAUUACUUUGAAGCCUUCUUUUCUGCUAGCCAGGAGACACAAUGCUCAGCACUUCCCGGAGGAAGAAGCAAAUUGAGAUUGCAUAAGUGCUUAGUAACCAAGAAUGAGAUCUGUAUUAUUUUAUUUCUUGGCUGUCACAUGAGAAACUAAUGUCAACCCAAAUCCUUCAGGAAAAGAAGUUAAAAUAAUUAGUUUAUUUUUACACGGUGUGCUGCCUGUCAAUGUGAGUCCAACAGAUGUGCUUUGCAUUUAAAUGUGCAGAGUUCACCUUGAAUAAAUAUUCAACUGGCAGCCUGUUGCAACACAAGAACGAAGCACAAUAUUACGAUGACCUCACUUUUACCACGAACAAUAUACCAGAGCUGUGAUGCUUGAAAUAGAGUUGAAUUCAAUGACUUUGAAACAAUCCACUCGUCACUUUAGAAUUUCAAAUUUUAUGGUACUCUGUUUCAAUUAAAUGGAUGUAAUGAAGUAAAAUACAAACAAUGAAAACAAAAUGAACCUUCAAAGUUAAAUGGAACAGUAUCGCUCGAUACAACAAACCAAAAUAAGAAUCAAUACUUCAGCUCCAUUCAAAGGCUUUUACGAAUUUAUUGAAGCCCUUCAUUGAAACUGGUAGUUAGGUAAUCAUUUUAUCAUUGGCAACCAAUUAUCAUUAUUUAUUCAGACAGCAUUAUGAACGUAAUGUACA